rnacentral:rRNA from 1 species
AAUACCACCCUUUAAUGUUUGAUGUUCUAACGUUGGCCCGUAAUCCGGGUUGCGGACAGUGUCUGGUGGGUAGUUUGACUGGGGCGGUCUCCUCCUAAAGAGUAACGGAGGAGCACGAAGGUUGGCUAAUCCUGGUCGGACAUCAGGAGGUUAGUGCAAUGGCAUAAGCCAGCUUGACUGCGAGCGUGACGGCGCGAGCAGGUGCGAAAGCAGGUCAUAGUGAUCCGGUGGUUCUGAAUGGAAGGGCCAUCGCUCAACGGAUAAAAGGUACUCCGGGGAUAACAGGCUGAUACCGCCCAAGAGUUCAUAUCGACGGCGGUGUUUGGCACCUCGAUGUCGGCUCAUCACAUCCUGGGGCUGAAGUAGGUCCCAAGGGUAUGGCUGUUCGCCAUUUAAAGUGGUACGCGAGCUGGGUUUAGAACGUCGUGAGACAGUUCGGUCCCUAUCUGCCGUGGGCGCUGGAGAACUGAGGGGGGCUGCUCCUAGUACGAGAGGACCGGAGUGGACGCAUCACUGGUGUUCGGGUUGUCAUGCCAAUGGCACUGCCCGGUAGCUAAAUGCGGAAGAGAUAAGUGCUGAAAGCAUCUAAGCACGAAACUUGCCCCGAGAUGAGUUCUCCCUGACUCCUUGAGAGUCCUGAAGGAACGUUGAAGACGACGACGUUGAUAGGCCGGGUGUGUAAGCGCAGCGAUGCGUUGAGCUAACCGGUACUAAUGAACCGUGAGGCUUAACCUU